UGUGCCAGCAGCCGCGGUAAUACAGAGGGCGCAAGCGUUAAUCGGAUUUACUGGGCGUAAAGCGUGCGUAGGCGGCUAUUUAAGUCGGAUGUGAAAGCCCUGGGCUCAACCUGGGAACUGCAUUCGAUACUGGGUAGCUAGAGAUCGGUAAAGGGCGGCGGAAUUCCGGGUGUAGCGGUGAAAUGCGUAGAUAUCCGGAGGACACCGAUGGCGAAGGCAACCGCCUGGGCCUGAUCUGACGCUGAGGCACGAAAGCGUGGGGAGCAAACAGGAUUAGA
rnacentral:rRNA from 1 species